rnacentral:lncRNA from 1 species
AUGAUCACUCAUCUAGAGCCAGACAUCCUGGAAUGUGAAGUCAAGUGGGCCUUAGAAAGCAUCACUAUGAACAAAGCUAGUGGAGGUGAUGGGAUUCCAGGUGAGCUCUUUCAAAUCCUGAAAGAUGAUGCUGUGAAAGUGCUGCACUCAAUAUGCCAGCAAAUUUGGAAAAUUCAGCAGUGGCCACAGGACUGGAAAAGGGCAGUUUUCAUUCCAGUCUUAAAGAAAGGCAAUGCCAAAGAAUGCUCAAACUACCACACAAUUGCACUCAUCUCACAUGCUAGUAAAGGAAUACUUAAAAUCCUCCAAGCCAGGCUUCAGCAAUACGUGAACCAUGAACUCCCUGAUGUUCAAGCUGGUUUUAGAAAAGGCAGAGGAACCAAAGAUCAUAUUGCCAACAUCCACUGGAUCAUGGAAAAAGCAAGAGAGUUCCAGAAAAACAUCUAUUUCUGCUUUAUUGACUAUGCCAAAGCCUUUGACUGUGUGGAUCACAAUAAACUGUGGGAAAUUCUGAAAGAGAUGGGAAUACCAGACCACCUGACCUGCCUCUUGAGAAAUCUGUAUGCAGGCCAGGAGGCAACAGUUAGAACUGGACAUGGAACAACAGACUGGUUCCAAAUAGGAAAAGGAGUCCGUCAAGGCUGUAUAUUGUCACCCUGCUUAUUUAACUUAUACGCAGAGUACAUCAUGAGAAACGCUGGACUGGAAGAAACACAAGCUGGAAUCAAGAUUGCUGGGAGAAAUUUCAAUAACCUCAGAUAUGCAGAUGACACCACCCUUAUGGCAGAAAGUGAAGAGAAACUAAAAAGCCUCUUGAUGAAAGUGAAAGAGGAGAGUGAAAAAGUUGACUUAAAGCUCAACAUUCAGAAAACAAAGAUCAUGGCAUCUAGUCCCAUCACUUCAUGGCAUAUAGAUGGGGAAACAGUGGAAACAGUAUCAGACUUUAUUUUUUGGGGCUCCAAAAUCACUGCAGAUGGUGACUGCAGCCAUGAAAUUAAAAGAUACUUACUCCUUAGAAGAAAAGUUAUGACCAACCUAGAUAGCAUAUUGAAAAGCAGAGACAUUACUUUGCCGAGUAAGGUCUGUCUAGUCAAGGCUAUGGUUUUUCUACUGGUCAUGUAUGGAUGUGAGAGUUGGACUGUGAAGAAGGCUGAGCACCAAAGAAUUAAUGCUUUUGAACUGUGGUGUUGGAGAAGACUCUUGAGAGUCCCUUGGACUGCAAGGAGAUCCAACCAGUCCAUUCUGAAGAUCAGCUCUGGGAUUUCUUUGGAAGGAAUGAUGCUAAGGCUGAAACUCCAAUACUUUGGCCACCUCAUGUGA